ACGGGGAGCAGCAGGCGCGAAAACUCUACAAUGCAGGCAACUGCGAUAGGGGAACAUCGAGUGAUCCUCAUAUUGGGGGUCUGUCCACCCGCCUAAAAAGCGGGUGUUAGCAAGGGCCGGGCAAGACCGGUGCCAGCCGCCGCGGUAAUACCGGCGGCUCGAGUGGUGGCCGAUAUUAUUGAGUCUAAAGGGUCCGUAGCCGGCUUUGCAAGUCUCUCGGGAAAUCCAGCGGCUUAACCGUUGGUCGUCCGGGGGGUACUACAUUGCUUGGGACUGGGAGAGGUAGGAGGUACUCAGGGGGUAGGAGUGAAAUCCUGUAAUCCUUUGGGGACCACCGGUGGCGAAGGCGUCCUACCAGAACAGGUCCGACGGUGAGGGACGAAAGCUAGGGGCACGAACCGGAUUAGAUACCCGGGUAGUCCUAGCCGUAAACGAUGCUCGCUAGGUGUCACAACAGUCGUGAACUGUUGUGGUGCCGUAGGGAAGCCGUGAAGCGAGCCACUUGGGAAGUACGACCGCAAGGUUGAAACUUAAAGGAAUUGGCGGGGGAGCAC
rnacentral:rRNA from 1 species